AGUUCAUUUUUUAUCUCCUUUGUGAAAAUGAACAUUCAUUCAUAUACAUUGUUUUAUAGACACUACCCAUAAUAAGGAAAACCAAAAAGAGUGUCAAAAGACGUCUAAAUGUGGACCAGGAUGUUUCUGAUGAUAAAGUGGAUACACCGAAAAAAAGAAAAAAAGCAGACAAGACCCAAGUAAAAGAGAGAGAGAAAUCUUCAGAAGCGACUUCCAAAACGGAGAGUACUUCUAAACCUGCUGUGGCAAAUGAGAAACAACUUCAAGCUGCUGCUGAAGAUAUGGCCCUAACAGAACUUUCGUCUCCACAGCCACAGU